GGCUGAGAGCCUGCCUCGUCGUCGUCCAUCCUGGCUCCGUAUAGUGAGUGGUCAUGAACACAAAUAUGGAUGAGAUUAGCCUGCAUGUGUGAGUUCCAUCAACACCUAUGAACAACGGUACCCUCUGUCUUGAACCCCUACUUUUGGGCUAGGGAUACUCACACUGGUGGUGCUGUCAGACCUGGGGAAAAAAAUCUGCACAACUCCAGUGCGUGGGUGUGAGAGUUAUUAAGCAAAUCCAGGGUCCUGGCUUUGCAGUAUGGUCUAGAGAAGAGGCUAAUAAAUGCUUUAGAUGACUACCUCCUCUUGACUCCACAAGAAUCCAGCCCAUGGGACGGGGCAGACAGAAGAUGAUAAAAAGUAGUAGACCUGAGAGUGAACCACCCAGAUUGAUCUCCUAUCAAAGAGACACUUGCAGUCUCCACUCCCAGAGGUGCUCACAAUCCUUCCAGAGAUGUCCUCACUGACAGAUAACUAAUCGAAGGAUAUCCUUUCCUGGGGAGCCUACAUCCAGUGACUGAGUAAGGACACAACUUUGGGGAAGCUAAGUAGGAAGCACUACAAGAACUUCUGCAUACUGGGGAUUGCACAACAAGAACAUGUCCUCUGUCGCCGGUGGCCUUGCAGUGACAAGGGAAGAUGCUGCUAAAAUGAAGCGAAUACUGAAGAAAUGGGACUGAAUAUAGUUACUUCAGUUGCUCUGAAUCUGUAGGAUAAAGAACUAUUCAAGGAGAGAGGAUAGUCCUUCAGAACAAGACUAAGGAAGAAAAAGUAACAGACCAAUGAAGUAAUUGAUGGACAAAGAUGAAAACCAUAUCAAUGACAAAGAACAUAUGGUGUGAAGAAGAUUGCCCUCCCCAAUGUUGGUGGACUUCAUCUACUCUUUCCAUCAUCUAACUGGAACAAAUUCACUGACCUUUCUUUGACAGUGCCUGGGAAGGUACAAACUACAUUUUUGAUGUUCCAUUGCCAUAAAGGACAAGAAUCAAGACAUAGUCCAUGGAAACUUGGAAUUCAGAGAUGAGAUGGAGAUUGUUUUAUGCAGCGAGGGGAGCAGAGAAGCAGUUCUGGAAAAGAUGAAUAUUUGCGGCACUAGAAUUCAUGUUCCAGUCCCUGGUCACCAGCUUCACAUUUGUGAGGCAGUUGUGAUGGGAACAUAACAACUCCAGUUAGGAGCAGUGGCUUUCCUAAUGUGUGCAACAGAUAAUGUGCUGUGACCGUAAAGUCCAA